UAAAUCAAUCAGCAGAAAGAACCGCAUCACAACAUCAGCCUCAGUCGUUGGCACCUUUAGGACAUCCUCAGCUUCUCCAGAGAGUUCAUCCUCAUCAUCAUCAUCAUCAUCAUCAUCAUCAUCUCAAUGCAGAGUGCACACCAGCUCUCCACAUCACAUCACAUCUUCUAAAAGCUUGCGCUCCCUAGAGAUGCUGGAGGGAAGGAGAACGUUUCUGUCCUUAUCUUUUCCACUGAUUGCUUUCAUUGAACUAUAAAUGAUAAUUUUUGAGGCGCUGUGUUGUCUGUAAUAUGUAAACACUGAGCAAGUCAUGAGAAGGACAGCUGUGUUUAUGGUGCACUUCCACAACACAACCUGCUUUGACUGUAGAUUGUCAUUUAUAUUUGUAUAAAAGCAUAUAAAGUUGAAAGCAUAUAAUAGAUAUUAUAUUUGUGCAUGAUAAUUUUCAUUGAUCAUAGCAGUUUUGAAUAUUCUCUAAGAGGUGCUACACAGUUUGCUUUUAAAAUAACUAGGCAUUGUAAUCAAUCAUUCAGCACCAUCUUUAGAAGAUAUUUGCAGCAUCUUACUAGAAAAGUUGUUAGUCUUUCAUAGUUGCACCACAAUUGCCUGUCAAUGAUGAUUCACUCAUGACAGCAAGAUUAAAAUCCAUUGCCUCAUA